CCUACGGGGUGCAGCAGUGGGGAAUAUUGGACAAUGGGCGAAAGCCUGAUCCAGCCAUGCCGCGUGUGUGAAGAAGGCCUUCGGGUUGUAAAGCACUUUCAGUGGGGAAGAAAGCCUUGGGGCUAAUACCCUCGAGGAAGGACAUCACCCACAGAAGAAGCACCGGCUAACUCCGUGCCAGCAGCCGCGGUAAUACGGAGGGUGCGAGCGUUAAUCGGAAUUACUGGGCGUAAAGCGCGCGUAGGCGGUCUGAUAAGCCGGUUGUGAAAGCCCCGGGCUCAACCUGGGAAUGGCAUCCGGAACUGUCAGGCUAGAGUGCAGGAGAGGAAGGUAGAAUUCCCGGUGUAGCGGUGAAAUGCGUAGAGAUCGGGAGGAAUACCAGUGGCGAAGGCGGCCUUCUGGACUGACACUGACGCUGAGGUGCGAAAGCGUGGGUAGCAAACAGGAUUAGAUACCCCAGUAGUC
rnacentral:rRNA from 1 species